AUUGAACGCUGGCGGCAUGCUUUACACAUGCAAGUCGGACGAGUGGCGAACGGGUGAGUAGUAUAUCGGAACGUGCCGAGUAAUGGGGGAUAACUACUCGAAAGAUUAGCUAAUACCGCAUAUUAUUCGAGCGGCCGAUAUGGGAUUAGCUAGUGGGUGGGGUAAAGGCCUACCAAGGCGACGAUCAGUAGCGGGUCUGAGAGGAUGAUCAGCCACACUGGAACUGAGACACGGCCCAGACUCCUACGGGAGGCAGCAGUGGGGAAUUUUGGACAAUGGGCGCAAGCCUGAUCCAGCCAUGCCGCGUGUCUGAAGAAGGCCUUCGGGUUGUAAAGGACUUUUGGCAGGGAAGCGGUACCUGAAGAAUAAGCACCGGCUAACUACGUGCCAGCAGCCGCGGUAAUAC
rnacentral:rRNA from 1 species